rnacentral:lncRNA from 1 species
ACGCCUAUACACCGCCAAAUCGCUAGGAAGCCACGUAUUCACGAAGCCACGCAGUGACGUCGCCACGCACGUACGCACGCACUUGCCACAAGGAGACGCUGUUCAGUUUACCGGAUCCUGUCCCGCGCCAGCCAACCAGGACAAGGCCGGGGAGCUCGAGACAGGCAGCCUAGACCAAGAACCGGAAGGAGGAAAAGGAACCGGAGGGAGGAAGAGGAGGGGCGGGACGAGACCACCAGGCAAGAGUCCAAACUUUCCCGCGGCGACCUAACUGCACCUCCAGUGUCUUCCCCCAGAGGGCACAGAAGCAGCAAGAAGGGCGGGAACACUUGACUGGGGUCCAUGCAGCUCUAGGCUGAGUCUUGCAGGGCUGAGCCCCCCAGGCCUGCUCUCCUGUGUCCUGGCCGCUCCGUCAGUGCCUGCCAGUGGGGUCCAGAGGGACCGUUUUUUUAACGCCUCUUUUGCAGUGAGAUGCGCCUACUUCUCCCUGGAGAAGCUUGAGGAAGCAGAAAUGCUGGAGAUGAGCUGCUCCUCACUCUCACUCCUGGGUGUGCUGGGCAGUGGGGUGCAAUGUGCACGUAGGUGCACACUCUCCCUGGGCGGCAGCGAGCAGCAGAGGUCUGAUCUGUGGUCGGAUGACGAGAGGAAGUGCAAGUAAAGCAGCUGCAGCGAGACCUCGUCCGCACAGGGGCUUGUUCUUCUGUGUCUUUGCAGGGCUGUUUUGGACUCAGUAUUCACCUAAGCACUCCAAAUUACCCAGCACACCCUGCCUGCAUGGCGCUGCGCUGCACCUUCACUCUGGUCACGGGUCUGGCAGUCAGCUCACCAAUUCCUCCUGCUUCCCUGGGACUUGCCGGCUUUUAGCACUGCAAUUCACUCAGCAAACUGGGACUGUUGGUCACCCUACCUGGCAGCCAGUGAUAAGGUGAGGGCCACUCCUGGGAGGGAGGACACCUGUGGGGAAAAUUCUUGUGUUAUUUAUUUCUCCUUCGGGAUAGGGUGCCUGCAGCGCUUCAUGGGAGGGGGUGGGCUGAUGCUGCGGGCUCAGAAGUUUCAAGGGCAUCUGGGGAGACCAGAUAUUCAGAGACCUUCUAGAUGUGCCUGUUCCAUGUAUCAGGGACGCAGGUUUUCCCAACAGGGCUGGUGUCAUUGGCAUGACAGACCUGCCUUGGCUGAGCGUUCACCUGUCUUUGGAGUUCAGCCACCUUAGCAAGUCCUGGGUUUGUUCUUCAGACUUUGCUGCUCGCCCAUUGCCUGGAUCGGGGGCUACUUUGUAAACCACCAGGAAGACUCCAGUGUUUCUGGUUAAUUUUUAGAUGUUUGUUAAUUGCUCUUGGUCUCUCAUUAAUCCCCUGUGGGUCAUCCAGGAAACAUACUCACCACUGUCUGUUCUCUGAGUUUUCAUUUCCAGGCAUCCGCCCUGCCUGGAUCUCCUCACCUGCCAGGAACUUCCUCUCCACAAGCCGGCCAUCCCAGCAAAAGUUCUAACACCAAAGGUCUGGCAACUAGCCUGCCAUCUUGUGCCUGGAGCCGCCUGCGUGCCACCUACUCCCGAAGAUGGGAACCUUGUUGCCAGUUGGGCAGAUGCGGGGCAAUCCUGUACCAAGACCCCAUUUUACCACCUGCUUUCUCAGACCACUCUGGAACCCACUGUCUCAGAUUGUGUCCUCCAGGAAGCAGACCAUGAGAGGGAGUUGGCAGGGCCAAAGAUUUACUGGGGCUAACUAACACUCAGGAAAGGGAUAGGAAGGAAACAGGGCUGGAGAGCAGGUUGAGCCCGACCUGACAGUCUCGAGCAGCCCAACAGGGAGGUGUGGAGCAAGGGUUGCCCACUAGAGGGGCCUGCAUUGGGUACGGGUGAUGGGGUCCACAUGGUACCUGGCAUAUAGCAGGCUGUGCAAUCCAUAUUAACUGACUGGAUAAAUUAAUGCCCAGAAAAGGUGCCCUGGAGAAUGGGUGUGUGCUGAACACAAUAGGGAAGGGCCCAGCAUCUGCCUUGGCAUAGGCAGAACUGUGCUGUGCCCUGCAACAGGCCACCUGAGAGCUGCUUUGAUCUUGUGUGUACAUUAGAUGACUGCCAGGGGCAUGAAGGGGAUGUGCUUCCAGGGCAUUUGCUGGCAGGGCGUCUCGUGAUCUCUUGGUAUUGGUGUGAGCACAGCCUGGCAGGAGAGGGCAGAUCUCCAUGCAAAGUAUGUCAGAAAGCAGAUGGAAGCCAGGCCCCCUCCUGAAAGAGGCUCCUUGAAGGCUCCUGGGACCACAUUAUCAUUCUCUUCACUCGAGAGAUGAGGACACUGAAAUUCAGAGAGGGGAAGUGAUUUGCCUCAGCUUGUACUAAAGAAACAUUUCAACAGAGAACCCAGUGGAAAUUAUGACAUGUUAUCUUCUCAGAGUCCUGAACUCCCAUCCCUACCUCAGAAGAGACUCCUCUGUUCACAGAAGCUAAAGGCAGUUCCUUCCCAAUGGCAACUAUGUUUGGAUGUUGGAUCUACACUUUCUCAAGCACUGUGAUCUUCAAAUCAAAGGAGAUUUCUCCCAUUAUAUACUUCUUAUGAUCAACAAAUUCCAUCAUCUCCCCACUAAGAGAAAGUACUCCAAGAUGAUAGAAUGAUUUUAAAGUUAUGGGACUACAACAGCAGCCACAGGAACCUUGAACUGCCAUCCAGGGCCAUGCAGCAAACAAGCAACAGGGAAAUAUCCCACUAUGCAAUCCUAUUUUGAGAUGAUAUUUAGGAUGAGAGAACAUGCAUUAGUUACCUACCAGCUUGACAGGAAUGGAUUUCCAAAUCUGACACACCAUAGCCUGAAUUCUCACCAGUUUGCUCCUGGAAAGGCCCGCUCAUGCAUGAGCCCCUGCCACUCUUCUAAAUAAGCUUCCAGGCAUUACCUGCAUGCUGUGUUCCUGUGGUGGGAUGGCAGUAAUCUCUGCUAAGAUAAACGGGAGCUUCUGUGGAUAAAGCAUAAACGCAGUGAAGUGUGUGUGGCUGGAAGAUUUAAUGCCUCUACAGUGCUUAGAUACAAGUUGAGCUUGGAAUUCCAGAGGUAGAGCACUGCUGAUUGGAGACAUAUUAAGUAAAAUGUACUGUGGAAAUGAGAUAAAACCUUUAUUCUUGCUAAUGAUUGUCAUUGUAUGUAUUCAGGUGUCCAACAAAGGAUUUUAGAAUAAAGUGUGCCUUUAAAGUUUCAAAAAAAAAAAAAAAAAAAAAAAAAAAAAAAAAAAAAAAAAAAAAAAAAAAAAAAAAAAAAAAAAAAAAAAAAAAAAAAAAAAAAAAAAAAAAAAAAAAAAAA